rnacentral:tRNA from 1 species
GCCUUAGCUCAGCUGGGAGAGCACCUGCUUUGCAAGCAGGGGGUCGUCGGUUCGAUCCCGACAGGCUCCACCAUAUUGAGUGAAAAGACUUCGGGUCUGUAGCUCAGGUGGUUAGAGCGCACCCCUGAUAAGGGUGAGGUCGGUAGUUCGAGUCUACCCAGACCCACCACUCUGAAUGUAGUGCACACUUAAGAAUUUAUAUGGAUCAGCGUUGAGGCUGAUACAUGUUCUUUUAUAACUUGUGACGUAGCGAGCGUUUGAGAUAUCUAUCUAAACGUGUCGUUGAGGCUAAGGCGGGGACUUCGAGUCCCUAAAUAAUUGAGUCGUAUGUUCGCGUUGGUGGCUUUGUACCCCACACAACACGGCGUAUGACCCCGAGGCAACUUGGGGUUAUA